GUGAGGAAUAUUGCACAAUGGGCGAAAGCCUGAUGCAGCAACGCCGCGUGAGUGAUGAAGGCCUUUGGGUCGUAAAACUCUGUCCUUGGGGAAGAAAAAAAUGACGGUACCCUUGGAGGAAGCCCCGGCUAACUACGUGCCAGCAGCCGCGGUAAUACGUAGGGGGCAAGCGUUAUCCGGAAUUAUUGGGCGUAAAGAGUGCGUAGGUGGUUUUGUAAGCGUAGGGUGAAAGGCAGUAGCUCAACUAUUGUUAGCCCUGCGAACUGUGAGACUUGAGUGCAGGAGAGGAAAGUGGAAUUCCUAGUGUAGCGGUGAAAUGCGUAGAUAUUAGGAGGAACACCAGUGGCGAAGGCGACUUUCUGGACUGUAACUGACACUGAGGCACGAAAGCGUGGGUAGCAAACAGGAUUAGAAACCCUGGUAGUCC
rnacentral:rRNA from 1 species